UAGCCUAGUGAUUAAGGCUAUGGAUCGCCAAUCCGGAGACGGCGGGUUCGAAUCCCGU
rnacentral:tRNA from 1 species